CCCUUAGAUGUUCUGGGCCGCACGCGUGCUACACUGAGUAAUUCAAUGGGUAAGGGAACGCUAGAGCAUUACCUAAUCUUGAAAUUUGCUCGUGAUGGGGAUCGACGGUUGCAAUUUUCCGUCGUGAACGAGGAAUACCUUGUAGGCGCAUGUCAUCAUCAUGCGCCGAAUACGUCCCUGCCCUUUGUACACACCGCCCGUCGCUACUACUGAUUGGAUGUUUAAGCGAGGUUCUCGAACUGCUAGCGACUUAGCUUCGGUGAGGUCGCAGUGUGGGAAGUGAACCUAGCUUUGGUGUCUAGAGGAAGUAAAAGUCGUAACA
rnacentral:rRNA from 1 species